CCUACGGGGGGCAGCAGUCGAGAAUCAUUCACAAUGGGGGAAACCCUGAUGGUGCGACGCCGCGUGGGGGAAUGAAGGUCUUCGGAUUGUAAACCCCUGUCAUGUGGGAGCAAAUUAAAAAGAUAGUACCACAAGAGGAAGAGACGGCUAACUCUGUGCCAGCAGCCGCGGUAAUACAGCGGUCUCAAGCGUUGUUCGGAAUCACUGGGCGUAAGGCGUGCGUAGGCUGUUUCGUAAGUCGUGUGUGAAAGGCGCGGGCUCAACCCGCGGACGGAACAUGAUACUGCGAGACUAGAGUAAUGGAGGGGGAACCGGAAUGCUCGGUGUAGCAGGGAAAUGCGUAGAUAUCGGGAGGAACACUCGUGGCGAAGGCGGGUUCCUGGACAUUAACUGACGCUGAGGCACGAAGGCCAGGGGAGCGAAAGGGAUUAGAUACCCCUGUAGUC
rnacentral:rRNA from 1 species